rnacentral:tRNA from 1 species
GGGUGACCUUGGUCAAGCUGGUAUGAUGCCAGGCUAGAAGCCGAGAGGUCAUGGGAUCGAAUCCUACAGCCACCCA